AUUGAACGCUGGCGGCAGGCCUAACACAUGCAAGUCGAGCGAACGGCGGGCGGGUGAGUAAUGUAGGGGGACUGCCCGAGAGAGGAGAAUAACUACGGGAAAAGGUAGAUAAUACCGCAUACUAUCAGAUAACCCAUAUGGGAUUAGCUAGUAGGUGAGGUAAUGGCUCCACUAGGCGACGAUCCCUAGCUGGUCUGAGAGGAUGAUCAGCCACACUGGGACUGAGACACGGCCCAGACUCCUACGGAGGCAGCAGUGGGGAAUAUUGUACAAUGGGCGCAAGCCUGAUCCAGCCAUCCCGCGUGUAUGAUGAAGGCCCUAGGGUUGUAAAGUACUUUCAGUCGGGAGGCGUUACCGACAGAAGAAGCACCGGCUAACUCCGUGCCAGCAGCCGCGGUAAUAC
rnacentral:rRNA from 1 species